CUGGCGGCGUGCCUAACACAUGCAAGUCGAACGAAGCACUGUGGAAAGAGACUCGGUCAAUUGAAACUUGACUUAGUGGCGGACGGGUGAGUAAUGCAUGAGCAACCUGCCCUGGAGAGGGGGGACGAACAGCUGGAAACGGCUGCUAAUACCGCAUGAAGUCACCGGAAGGCAUCUUCUGGUGACCAAAGAUUUAUCGCUCUGGGAUGGGCUCAUGUCUGAUUAGUUAGUUGGCGGGGCAACGGCCCACCAAGACUUCGAUCAGUAGCCGGACUGAGAGGUUGAACGGCCACAUUGGGACUGAGAUACGGCCCAGACUCCUACGGGAGGCAGCAGUGGGGAAUAUUGGGCAAUGGGCGCAAGCCUGACCCAGCAACGCCGCGUGAAGGAAGAAGGCUUUCGGGUUGUAAACUUCUUUUAUCAGGGACGAAGAAAGUGACGGUACCUGAUGAAUAAGCCACGGCUAACUACGUGCCAGCAGCCGC
rnacentral:rRNA from 1 species